CCUACGGGGCGCAGCAGUCGAGAAUCAUUCACAAUGGGGGAAACCCUGAUGGUGCGACGCCGCGUGGGGGAAUGAAGGUCUUCGGAUUGUAAACCCCUGUCAUGUGGGAGCAAAUUAAAAAGAUAGUACCACACGAGGAAGAGACGGCUAACUCUGUGCCAGCAGCCGCGGUAAUACAGAGGUCUCAAGCGUUGUUCGGAAUCACUGGGCGUAAAGCGUGCGUAGGCUGUUUCGUAAGUCGUGUGUGAAAGGCGCGGGCUCAACCCGCGGACGGCACAUGAUACUGCGAGACUAGAGUAAUGGAGGGGGAACCGGAAUUCUCGGUGUAGCAGUGAAAUGCGUAGAUAUCGAGAGGAACACUCGUGGCGAAGGCGGGUUCCUGGACAUUAACUGACGCUGAGGCACGAAGGCCAGGGGAGCGAAAGGGAUUAGAUACCCCGGUAGUC
rnacentral:rRNA from 1 species